rnacentral:rRNA from 1 species
UACGUAGGGGGCGAGCGUUGUCCGGAUUUAUUGGGCGUAAAGAGCUCGUAGGCGGUUCGAUAAGUCGAACGUGAAAUCCCCGGGCUCAACCCGGGAACUGCGUCCGAUACUGGCAGGCUUGAAUCCGGGAGAGGGAUGCGGAAUUCCAGGUGUAGCGGUGAAAUGCGUAGAUAUCUGGAGGAACACCGGUGGCGAAGGCGGCAUCCUGGACCGGUAUUGACGCUGAGGCGCGAAAGCGUGGGGAGCAAACAGG